rnacentral:rRNA from 1 species
GAACCUGAUGCAUCGAUGCCGCGUGAGUGAAGAAGGCCUUUGGGUUGUAAAGCUCUUUUGUAGGGGAAGAUAAUGACUGUACCCUAAGAAUAAGGUCCGGCUAACUUCGUGCCAGCAGCCGCGGUAAUACGAAGGGACCUAGCGUAGUUCGGAAUUACUGGGCGUAAAGCGCGCGUAGGCCGUUGAGUUAGUUAAUUGUGAAAUCCCAAAGCUUAACUUUGGAACUGCAAUUAAAACUGCUCGACUAGAGUUUGAUAGAGGAAAGCGGAAUACAUAGUGUAGAGGUGAAAUUCGUAGAUAUUAUGUAGAACACCAGUUGCGAAGGCGGCUUUCUGGGUCAACACUGACGCUGAGGCGCGAAAGUAUGGGUAGCAAAGAGGAUUAGAUACCCUCGUAGUCCAUACCAUAAACGAUGAUUGCUAGAUGUUGGAAAUUUAUUUUCAGUAUCGCAGCUAACGCAUUAAGCAAUCCGCCUGGGGAGUACGACCGCAAGGUUAAAACUCAAAUGAAUUGACGGGGACCCGCACAAGCGGUGGAGCAUGUGGUUUAAUUCGAAGAUACGCGCAGAACCU